AUGUCCUGGCUAUCCUGGGGGGCUGUUCCCGCCCAGCCGCGGGUCCCGGCGGUCCUGGGGGCAACGGAAUGCCGGGGGACAUCGGGAAGGGCAGUGCCAGCAGGUCAGGGGAGGGUCCUGUCCCUCUGGCCUGCCCAGCUGAGGCACAUCUGGAGUGCUGUGUCCAGGUCUGGGCUCCUCGGGACCAGAGAGCUCCUGAGCACGUCCAGAGGAGGCCAUGGGGGUGCUUUGGGGUCUGGAGCACUUCCCAGGCUGAGGGUGCUGGGUCUGGUUCGUCCGGAGAGAAGACUGAGAGAGAACCUCAUCAAUCCACACAAAUCUCCCAAAUACCCACACAAACCCCUCAAACACCCACCCAAAUAUCUCAAAUAUUCACACAUAUCACUCAUCUCACAGGGAAUCCCACCAAUCCGCGCAAAAACCCCACCCAGCCCCACAAAUCUCUCCCCGGGGUGUCAGGAUGGUGCCCAGGAGGUCUGGCCACGAACCAAACACAAAUCCCAGCUCAGCACGAGGCAGAGCUGCUCCCCACGGAGGGGCCAAGCCCCGGGACAGGUCACCCGGCCGUGUGUCACCUCUGCAGGUGGCACCGCCUGGGCGGGGGGUAGGACCGGCACGUCUCCAGAGGGUCCUUCCCACCGCGACCGCUCCGGGAUUCCGGGAUUCCCUGUGGGCACACCCGCGUGCGCGACAGCUCCGUGCCCUCCCGUGUCCGCGACACCGGCGCACACGCACGGCGAUGUCACACCCGCACGGAGAUGUCACACCCCGACACACACACAGAGACACCCCCGCCCCCCGCCCGCAGCUGCCGCUGCCCCGGGCCAUUGUCCCGCCCGUGCCAGGAGCCGCCGGCACCGAUCGCCGCCGCUGCCCCCCCGCCCCGGCCCCGCCGCGGGAUCCCGGAGCUCUGCUGGACCGGGAGAGCCGAUCCCGGGAUCUCCCCCCCGUGCAUCCCGGUGUCUCCCAUCUGUCCCAGGUGCGCCGGAGCCCGGGCGAGCUCCGGGGAACGCGCCGGAGCCCGGGACUCCCUUGACCCUCCUCCCCGCUCCCGGAGCACAGGGACCGCCGGGAAGCCCCGAAAGCUUCAGACCCCGGGACCCCUCGGAGCGCGGGGACCCCGCGGGACUCCGCCGGGAUCUCCCGGAAAGCUCCAUAGGACCGGCACCACCUGGGACACCGGGAAUACCGGGACUCCCCCCCCAUCCCCCCCCCGCAAGGCUCCGGCGCAUUGGGGCCCCCCGAGACUUCCCGGACCCCUCGAAAGGCUCCGGAGCCCGGGAUCCCCCAAGACCCCCGGGAGUGCCGGGACCCUCCAGAAACCUCGGACCCUCCGGAUCCCCCGGGACCCCCGGGACCCCCGCCCAUGUUCCGGCGGGACGAGCGCAGCCGCGCCACGGUGGCGCGGGGGUCAGCGCUGGACAUGGAACUGCGCCGGGGCCGCUGCUGCCCCCCGGCCCCGGCCUCGCAGGUACGGGAGCACCGGGAGCAGCGGGAUCGGCCCGGGCACGAGGCCACGGGGGCGGCCGCUCCCUGCCCCCCGGGCCCCCC
rnacentral:lncRNA from 13 species